rnacentral:rRNA from 1 species
CACGUAGGGUGCGAGCGUUGUCCGGAAUUAUUGGGCGUAAAGAGCUCGUAGGCGGUGUGUCGCGUCGGCCGUGAAAACCUGCAGCUUAACUGUGGGCUUGCGGUCGAUACGGGCAUCACUGGAGUUCGGCAGGGGAGACUGGAAUUCCUGGUGUAGCGGUGAAAUGCGCAGAUAUCAGGAGGGAACACCGGUGGCCGAAGGCGGGUCU